UGGGGAAUUUUGGACAAUGGGCGCAAGCCUGAUCCAGCAAUGCCGCGUGAGUGAAGAAGGCCUUCGGGUUGUAAAGCUCUUUUGUCAGGGAAGAAACGGUGGGGGCUAAUAUCCUCCACUAAUGACGGUACCUGAAGAAUAAGCACCGGCUAACUACGUGCCAGCAGCCGCGGUAAUACGUAGGGUGCAAGCGUUAAUCGGAAUUACUGGGCGUAAAGCGUGCGCAGGCGGUUUUGUAAGUCUGUCGUGAAAGCCCCGGGCUCAACCUGGGAAUUGCGAUGGAGACUGCAAGGCUUGAAUCUGGCAGAGGGGGGUAGAAUUCCACGUGUAGCAGUGAAAUGCGUAGAGAUGUGGAGGAACACCGAUGGCGAAGGCAGCCCCCUGGGUCAAGAUUGACGCUCAUGCACGAAAGCGUGGGGAGCAAACA
rnacentral:rRNA from 2 species